rnacentral:lncRNA from 1 species
ACAAACUGACCUUGCAAAGAGGACACUUUAUACAAUCCAGCGGGCAAGACUGUUUGCGAGUAACAACUUCCGUCCAACGCAAAAUGAACCUGUAACAGAACUUAUCUGAAACACAUACCAGUGGAUUUCGGCUCAAUAGACACAAUGCAGUUUGUUUCUGUUCGUGGCAGGAAUUUCCGUCGGGGAUGUUCCCUGGCCGACGAGCACACAGCUCCCCUUGAGGUCGGC